ensembl:ncRNA asRNA:CR46139 antisense RNA:CR46139
GGUUAAAAUGUCAUGUUAACUCUGCAAAAAGUUUGGGAACAUAAUUCGUGCGUAAAAAAAUCAAUAUGAUUUAAGCUCGACAUCUUCAAGCUUGGACCUAUACAGGUUUUAUCACUACAGGAUCGAUCUACAAAAUCGCUUUCGUAUCUCAGAUCGAAUCGCUUCUCCAUCAGCAAAUGACUUCAAGGUCCCGAGAUUGUUCCUUGCCCCAGAAUGGCCGCUUCCGAAGGUUAUACGAGCAUUUCCGAUGAACCACUUAGAAAUCCAACUUAACACAGUAUUCCUAACUUUGUUGCGACCAAUACUAACGAACUGGAAGCGGUGCAGAUUGUCAAUCGCAGAUACACAACUCACACCCGCAAAUCACGAACGCCAUUGGCAAAACGGGCUGCUCACUAAGUGAUUGUUAGAUAUGGGCUCUAUAAGUCCUGCAGAGAUCCUGAUCCAGAUCCUCCGUCAAAGAACUUUCCGUCGACCGCAUCCCGCUUCUUGUUCUUCGAACGAAAGCGUCCGGAUCGGGAGAUGGAGAAGUUGCGCCACUGGUGGCCAUAGGCGCACCGCUUCUCCUCAUCGCUCAGCACGCUGUCCAGGUAGUGGAUCGUCGGCUCGUGGGCGGUUGACUUGGCUUUGCUCAUGGUGCCCGGAAGAGGACCAACUGCAAAUCAAAUUAGUUCGGAUUCUUUUUUUUUUUUUUUUGCGAUCGGUGGUUCCGAUAUUGACACUCCAGCUGAUAGGACCGAACACUGGGCUACAGUCGAACUCGCACUUCCACCGGUUCGGAUGUCUUUUGUUUUGGUGCGUUCGUGUCGGCCAAAGUUGGUCCGAAUCCAAUGCCGUCGCGCGUGGUUCCCGUGGAGCUUGUGCUCUGCGACUGCCGCUUCUGCCUUCAAAAAAGCCAAAUGACAACCACCCGAUGGAGUAAUGAAGUCGAAGAGAGCAGUCACCAGAAACUCUUUCCACCGCAGCUCCAGAGCAUGUGAGUUUGCUCCUGAAGGCCUAAACAGGUGAGCCAGGCCACACAACCGCAACACACACGUACACACACACAAUAUAUGUGAAUUUGAAUUGUGCCAACAGUGCUG